rnacentral:misc_RNA from 1 species
AAGUCGUAACAAGGUUUCCGUAGGUGAACCUGCGGAAGGAUCAUUAUGAAUUUGGAACUUGUGUUGGCUUGUUUCGAUCCUUUUUGGAUUGAACGCCUCGCAAUUCUUUUUUCUGUGAACUGGCGCAUUCUCGCUCACUUAUCAUUUUGAUAAGUGUUGAGAGUUUGCUCUUUUUUGUUUUCUUGUAUUAUUCCACUUUUUUUUGAGUAAUUCUUGCAAAAGAAUGAAAAAAAAAUCAUAAACCAAGACAACUUUCAGCAAUGGAUCUCUUGGCUCUU